GCGGACGUGGCGAAACUGGUAGACGCAAGAGACUUAAAAUCUCUCGGCCUUAGGCCUUGCGGGUUCGAUCCCCGCCGUCCGCACCA
rnacentral:tRNA from 2 species